GACGAACGCUAGCUACAUGCUUAACACAUGCAAGUCGAGGGACCGGCGCACGGGUGAUUAACACGUAUCCAACCUUCCCUUUACUCGGGGAUAGCCUUUCGAUAGAAAGAUUAAUACCCGAUAUAAAGGAUGGGGAUGCGUUCAAUUAGGUCGUUGGUGAGGUAACGGCUCACCAAGCCUUCGUUGGAUAGGGGUUCUGAUAGGGAGGUCCCCCACAUUGUAACUGGGACACGUGCCAAACUCAUACGGGAUGCAAAAGGUAUGAAUAUUGGUCCAUGGGCGCUAGCCUGAACCAGCAAAGUAGCGUGAAGGAUGAAGGAUUAUGGGUCGUAAACUUCUUUUUUAUAAGAAUAUGUAUUAUAUGAAUAAGGAUCGGCUAACUCCGUGCCAGCAGCCGCGGUAAUAC
rnacentral:rRNA from 1 species